AGCGUACACGGUGGAUGCCCUGGCAGUCAGAGGCGAUGAAGGACGUGCUAAUCUGCGAUAAGCGUCGGUGAGGUGAUAUGAACCGUUAUAACCGGCGAUUUCCGAAUGGGGAAACCCAGUGUGUUUCGACACACUAUCAUUAACUGAAUCCAUAGGUUAAUGAGGCGAACCGGGGGAACUGAAACAUCUAAGUACCCCGAGGAAAAGAAAUCAACCGAGAUUCCCCCAGUAGCGGCGAGCGAACGGGGAGGAGCCCAGAGCCUGAAUCAGUGUGUGUGUUAGUGGAAGCGUCUGGAAAGGCGUGCGAUACAGGGUGACAGCCCCGUACACAAAAAUGCACAUAUUGUGAGCUCGAUGAGUAGGGCGGGACACGUGGUAUCCUGUCUGAAUAUGGGGGGACCAUCCUCCAAGGCUAAAUACUCCUGACUGACCGAUAGUGAACCAGUACCGUGAGGGAAAGGCGAAAAGAACCCCGGCGAGGGGAGUGAAAAAGAACCUGAAACCGUGUACGUACAAGCAGUGGGAGCCUCUUAAUGGGGUGACUGCGUACCUUUUGUAUAAUGGGUCAGCGACUUAUAUUCUGUAGCAAGGUUAACCGAAUAGGGGAGCCGAAGGGAAACCGAGUCUUAACUGGGCGUUAAGUUGCAGGGUAUAGACCCGAAACCCGGUGAUCUAGCCAUGGGCAGGUUGAAGGUUGGGUAACACUAACUGGAGGACCGAACCGACUAAUGUUGAAAAAUUAGCGGAUGACUUGUGGCUGGGGGUGAAAGGCCAAUCAAACCGGGAGAUAGCUGGUUCUCCCCGAAAGCUAUUUAGGUAGCGCCUCGUGAAUUCAUCUCCGGGGGUAGAGCACUGUUUCGGCAAGGGGGUCAUCCCGACUUACCAACCCGAUGCAAACUGCGAAUACCGGAGAAUGUUAUCACGGGAGACACACGGCGGGUGCUAACGUCCGUCGUGAAGAGGGAAACAACCCAGACCGCCAGCUAAGGUCCCAAAGUCAUGGUUAAGUGGGAAACGAUGUGGGAAGGCCCAGACAGCCAGGAUGUUGGCUUAGAAGCAGCCAUCAUUUAAAGAAAGCGUAAUAGCUCACUGGUCGAGUCGGCCUGCGCGGAAGAUGUAACGGGGCUAAACCAUGCACCGAAGCUGCGGCAGCGACACUAUGUGUUGUUGGGUAGGGGAGCGUUCUGUAAGCCUGUGAAGGUGGCCUGUGAGGGUUGCUGGAGGUAUCAGAAGUGCGAAUGCUGACAUAAGUAACGAUAAAGCGGGUGAAAAGCCCGCUCGCCGGAAGACCAAGGGUUCCUGUCCAACGUUAAUCGGGGCAGGGUGAGUCGACCCCUAAGGCGAGGCCGAAAGGCGUAGUCGAUGGGAAACAGGUUAAUAUUCCUGUACUUGGUGUUACUGCGAAGGGGGGACGGAGAAGGCUAUGUUGGCCGGGCGACGGUUGUCCCGGUUUAAGCGUGUAGGCUGGUUUUCCAGGCAAAUCCGGAAAACCAAGGCUGAGGCGUGAUGACGAGGCACUACGGUGCUGAAGCGACAAAUGCCCUGCUUCCAGGAAAAGCCUCUAAGCAUCAGGUAACAUCAAAUCGUACCCCAAACCGACACAGGUGGUCAGGUAGAGAAUACCAAGGCGCUUGAGAGAACUCGGGUGAAGGAACUAGGCAAAAUGGUGCCGUAACUUCGGGAGAAGGCACGCUGAUAUGUAGGUGAAGCGACUUGCUCGUGGAGCUGAAAUCAGUCGAAGAUACCAGCUGGCUGCAACUGUUUAUUAAAAACACAGCACUGUGCAAACACGAAAGUGGACGUAUACGGUGUGACGCCUGCCCGGUGCCGGAAGGUUAAUUGAUGGGGUUAGCGGCAACGCGAAGCUCUUGAUCGAAGCCCCGGUAAACGGCGGCCGUAACUAUAACGGUCCUAAGGUAGCGAAAUUCCUUGUCGGGUAAGUUCCGACCUGCACGAAUGGCGUAAUGAUGGCCAGGCUGUCUCCACCCGAGACUCAGUGAAAUUGAACUCGCUGUGAAGAUGCAGUGUACCCGCGGCAAGACGGAAAGACCCCGUGAACCUUUACUAUAGCUUGACACUGAACAUUGAGCCUUGAUGUGUAGGAUAGGUGGGAGGCUUUGAAGUGUGGACGCCAGUCUGCAUGGAGCCGACCUUGAAAUACCACCCUUUAAUGUUUGAUGUUCUAACGUUGGCCCGUAAUCCGGGUUGCGGACAGUGUCUGGUGGGUAGUUUGACUGGGGCGGUCUCCUCCUAAAGAGUAACGGAGGAGCACGAAGGUUGGCUAAUCCUGGUCGGACAUCAGGAGGUUAGUGCAAUGGCAUAAGCCAGCUUGACUGCGAGCGUGACGGCGCGAGCAGGUGCGAAAGCAGGUCAUAGUGAUCCGGUGGUUCUGAAUGGAAGGGCCAUCGCUCAACGGAUAAAAGGUACUCCGGGGAUAACAGGCUGAUACCGCCCAAGAGUUCAUAUCGACGGCGGUGUUUGGCACCUCGAUGUCGGCUCAUCACAUCCUGGGGCUGAAGUAGGUCCCAAGGGUAUGGCUGUUCGCCAUUUAAAGUGGUACGCGAGCUGGGUUUAGAACGUCGUGAGACAGUUCGGUCCCUAUCUGCCGUGGGCGCUGGAGAACUGAGGGGGGCUGCUCCUAGUACGAGAGGACCGGAGUGGACGCAUCACUGGUGUUCGGGUUGUCAUGCCAAUGGCACUGCCCGGUAGCUAAAUGCGGAAGAGAUAAGUGCUGAAAGCAUCUAAGCACGAAACUUGCCCCGAGAUGAGUUCUCCCUGAAGAGAGGCCUUGU
rnacentral:rRNA from 1 species